UACGUAGGGGGCAAGCGUUGUCCGGAAUUACUGGGCGUAAAGGGCUCGUAGGCGGCCAACUAAGUCGGACGUGAAAUCCCUCGGCUUAACCGGGGAACUGCGUCCGAUACUGGAUGGCUUGAGUUCGGGAGAGGGAUGCGGAAUUCCAGGUGUAGCGGUGAAAUGCGUAGAUAUCUGGAGGAACACCGGUGGCGAAGGCGGCAUCCUGGACCGACACUGACGCUGAGGAGCGAAAGCCAGGGGAGCAAACGGG
rnacentral:rRNA from 1 species